GUGUCCCAGAUAGGCAGGAUGGUAAUUAAAAAAAUACAAAAUGUGUAUUUUACUCAAAAAAAAAAAACAGUAACAUUGCGUCCCAGAAGAGCCUAUAACAAAAGACCAGACAAAAGAGCUUCAAGAGUUAACCAUUGCAUCUCUCUUUUGGGAAAAAGAUGAUGUAAACCCCCAGACCAUGUGACACUGUAAUGAAUAAUACAGCAGAGAGCGAGAGAGAAAGGGGGGCGCAAACACAGUUAAGGUUUGAUGAGAGGAGAGAAGGAGGGUCAUAUAUCCUCAAGACUUAACAAGAGAGCACGAGACUGACUGUUCAGUCAGAGAAGAUGUGCUGGCUGCCGAUAGACCAGCCUUUGCUCCUGCCCGGCGACUCCACCUGCAGCUCCUGCCGACCGUCGCCGCGCUCCGUGUGUCAGCUGCUCGCGUCGCGCCUGCGGAGGAUUGGAGACCAGCUGGAGAAAGGCUGGACGGCGGGGGACGCGGAGUCUGGCGUCAGCUGUGAAGAGCGGGGCGCUGUGGCGGGGCGCGAGCACUUCAAGAGCAUCCUGUGCACUGCAAUCCACUUCACUAUGCUCGUGCUGUUCGUCGCGAGGCGACACCUGUAGGGCGCGAGGCGGCAACAGACGGCGCCUUUAGGACGUUGCACCAUCAAAGGGCUCAGGUUAUUUGCACGAAAAGCCAAGAACGCAGGAGGAUGUGGUCCAGAGGAGAGAAAGCAUCCUGCAACACGAUGACAAAAGAGGCGGACGUGGUCUUUAAAGGUCAGAACUUUGACUCCGGCUAGGUUGAAUGUGUCACGGACACCCACUCGGGACCGACGUGGACGCACGACGAGCUCCAUGAGUCGCAGACGCGCCGGAGCAGCGGCCGUGCGCCGUCAGCCGCGCGCCCUGCCCCUGCGUGACCCUCCGAGUCUGUCAUCGCAGCUACAGGGCGGUGAUGUAAUCCUCCCCUGGUGCAGCGGAGGGAAACGCUGACGGAUUGGACUUCUUUUGAUUCUCGCCGCCCAUUGUGUGAACGCAUCAAACCGGUGAGACCGAUUAGACCUUCUGGUGCAAGUAGGCCACAGUUGGAGCGACAAGCCCGAAACAAAAACAAGCACUGACACCUGUUGAAAGCUUCUAAAUGCACUGUAGGUUUUUACAUAAGCUAAGCUGUGUGCAAAUGUGUAAAUAAUGAGGAUGAAUGUUUUAUAGAUGUUUUCUACAGUGUUUAGAUGAGGUCUACAGAUCGUCCUGUGCGUUAGCAUUAUCAGAUGGAGUCAGUGUUAAGUGCUUUUAAUAUAAACAUACAGGACCUAUAGGAUGCUACGUGUAUGCUCUUGAUGCUGUUUGUGACUAGAAACAAGGUCUUAAUGUGAGCAGAAUACCUGAAGCUGUCUUUUAUAAAGGUCUGUGCUAUUUAUACUACCUACAUAUUUCUUAUGGACUUUUAGUAGUUAAAAAAAUAAAAAUAAACAUAAUGAGUGA